CCUGUCUAAACCUUGUGUUGCUUACACCUUCGAGUUCCUGAUUUCGGCGAGACCCUACCUAAAACUCACCACCUCGGGUAUACCCCUCGAUGGGUAGGCGGUAAAACACCGACAUUCGGUUCAGUGAUUUCUGAUCAGUUUGGCCAGUAAUUUAAAUGUUGGUUGUAGAAUAACCGCUACACCUAAGGUGUAGAAUAGCGUUGCCGUUGUUAGUUCUUCUAAUUUUACAUAUUAAUAUAUUUUCCUAUAAACUUGGUCAAUGAUAGACAAGUCUGAAUGGGGACAACUAAAAUGACGUACAUAUUGGAAGGGGGUUAUAGAACAUCUCCAUACACUAACAGGCAACAAAACUAUAAUUACAACAAAACUAAACCCACAUUCACUGCAAUAGAGUGGGCAGACUAGUUUUUUUGGAUCAAGCAAAAAAGACUGAAGUGCAUACCCUCCCUGUUAGAGACUUAAUCUUGUCACGCUCCAUCACAAGCUCUUGUGACAUUGAUUCUUCCACACUUGAUAAUGUGAGGGAAGAACAUCAUUAACAAGCACCUUACUGCAGCUAGAUAAACUAGAAUAUUGGUUGACCGGAAAGAAGAUUGGCCGCCGGCGAUGCGCCGGCUGGACCGGCAAGAAGAUUGGCUAUCGCGGUGUGGGGACAGGGACUUACCAGCUGAAGUGCAAAUGUCCUCCAUGUUUUGGGGCAGAUGGGGAGGGAGCUAUUCUAGCCUCGCCGGCGGCGGUGGUCAAUGACUCAAUAGGUACAUCCUUGGGGAUGGUGAGUGGUAGCCUCGUAGGGGUGGUGGAGGAAGAUGAGACAGAAUUUAUUACUAUGCAGAAAUAAUUCUACUGAAUGACUGAGACUAAAAGGAUGGAAUGACUGAGUUAUUAUAGAAUGACUAAGUUUGUUUACUUCCUUUAUGUAUUUUGCAUAUUUUUGUAGAAUGCUGAAAUCACUAAAUGACUGCUAGAAUUCCUGAGGCCUAACAGAUGGAAUAACUGAGUUUGCAUGUUUCUUUUGUAGAAUGACUGAAAAUACUAAAUUACUGUUGUCUAUGUUAUUUCUUCUGAAUGACUGACGUUAAAAAGAUGGAAUGACUAAGGUCUAAGACAGAAUGACUGUUGCUGUCUAAGUUAUUUCUUCUGAAUGACUGAUGCUAAAAAGAUGGAAUGACUAAGGUCCAAGUCUAAGUAAGUCUACUGAAUGACUGAGACUAAAAGGAUAGAAUGUAUUUUAGCUUCAGUUAUUCAGACGAAUUACUGAGUACAUCCAGUCAUUUGUUAAAUUUGUACAAUCUCAGUCAUUCUAUCUUAGAGCUCAGUCAUUCCAUCUUUUUAGCAUCAGUCAUUCAGAAGAAAUAACUGAGUUCAGAUCGGACUAGUGCGAGUUCAGAUCUGUUCAGUUCAGAUUGGACUAGUGCGGAAGUUCAGCUCGGACUGCCGCCCGUCUCCCUCUCCGGCUACCUUCGCCUGCUCCACCUCGCCAAAUCUUCAGACAGGUCCGUUCUUUCCUUCUUGCCGCCGCCCGUCUCCUGUUGGGAAGAUGAGGGGAACGAAUAUCGGACCGCCGCCCGUCUCUCCUCUCUGGCUACCUCCGCCUGCUCCACCUCGCCGAAUCUUCAGACACAUCCGCCUCUUGUUGGGAAGAUGAGGGGAUGACGGACUUCGUAUUGGCGGAGAGAGAGAGGGCUGGAGCCUGGGCGACGGUGGCGGUAGCAAUAGGCAGCAGUAGCACCAGCAUUUUCAUCAUUUGCUCUAAACUGAACUUGCAUUGUUUGUGCUGAACUUUCAGAACUGAACUAGCAUGCUCCGAACUGAAAUUUCAUUGUUUGUGCUGAACUUUUUGACACUCUUAAGAAACCAAAAUAAAAAGUGGAGAAGAACGAUACACUUGACACAGUCAAGAUCAACAAAUUCAGUGGGCUCGCAAUGGAUGUUAGUGAUGGCAACAUGCUGACUGCAGGUGACACGAUUAUGGUUCACCUGCCAUGUAGUAUCAUGAAUUUUAGAUUUUCACUGAACUGAACUUGCAUUUUUUGUGUCAGAACUGAACUAGCAUGGUCUGAACUGAAAAUUCAUUAUAUGUGCUGAACUUUUUGACACUCUUAAGAAACAAAAAUGAAUCGUUUGUGUAGCAGUUUGCACCGGCAUUAAAAUGCUGCGCUCGAACAAAGAUGGCCAAACUCUUUUAAGGUGGAGACGAUCCCCAAUGAAUUUGAAACCUAGGCGGACUACACAGAAGCAUUUCGCAUCCAACAUUAGAGGAGAUCUGGCAUCAAAUCGACUCGGGCAUGGAUACCAUUCCCAGUGGCCUAUAUGUUGAUUGCUAUAAUAGGAAGCCAGAUAUUGGAAGCCUAAUAAUUACAAUAUCAAGCUCAAAGUACCAAAGGGGGAUCAGAUGCCAAGAAAAGGAGAUCUCAUGUUAUUAUCAGCAAGGGAAUUGAAAUGUAGAGACCAAAUAAUCAAGGACGGCUCCUUUUGUGCCAUCUUGGUGGUUAUAUCCGCCAAAACUGAUGAUAAAUCUGCCAAAGAUGAUGAUAAUUAUGAAGUAGAUUAUGUAGCAUCAAUGGAUAUCUUGCUAUCGCAGUGGCCAUAUGGGUGUCUGAAUCAGGAAACUUCCUACCAAGUUUUGCACCUGACUAAUAUGACAACUUGUGAAUGUAGUUGGGAAGUCAUGGUGAGAGGUUCCAAAGAGAGUUCACAAAUAAUCAAUCUCAUAUUGACUAAAAAUACUGAUGGAGAAUAUGGACAAUUUACAGAUAAAGAAAAUAUUUUUAAGGCUGCCUAUGAUGAUUUUGGAUUGAAUAAAUCAUAGAGUGAUGCAGUAGCAAGUUGCAUUUUAGCAACUAAAUGUUCUAAGAAAUCUUUUGUACAUCUAAUUUGGGGCCCACCUGGCACAGGUAAAACUAAAACAGUUUCAGUGAUUCUGCAUAUGCUUCUAAUGGUGGCAAGCAAACAUAGAACUCUUGUGUGUGCUCCAACCAACACAGCCCUUGUGCAAUUGGCUUCUCAUCUUGUUUCCCUAGACAAAAGGUCCACUGAGACCAGUUAUUUACUUGGCGACAUCAUUAUGUUUGGUAGUAACAAACUUAUGAAGAAGACUGAUAAUGACCUGUCAAAAAUAUUUUUGAAAUAUCGUGUUGCUGAAAUGUCGAAGAAAUCAUAUAAAAAUCAUAGAUAGCUAGAGGACAGCUGCUUGCGAGCUGCAAAACUUGUAUUUGCACUCCUUGUAUGUCCUCUAGGUUGAAAAAUCAGCAAUAUGGCAUCUUGGUUAUUGAUGAGGCAGCAAACUUAAAAGAAUGUGACUCAAUGAUCCCUCUCGCAAUCUAUGGGAUAAAACAUGUGGUGCUUAUCAGGGAUGACAAGCAGCUACAAUCAGUGGUAAUGAGCCCGGUUGCUAAAGAGAUUAAGUAUGGAUGAAGCCUCUUUGAGAGAUUGUGUGAAAUUGGUUACCACAAGCACUUGCUAAAUGUGCAAUAUAGAAUGCACAAUUACAUCAGCAGGUUUCCAAAUGCAAUUUUUAUGAUGGAAAAAUUAUAGAUGGCACAAACAUUGCGGGCUACAUUUUUUUUCAGUCAUAUUUUUGGUAACUAUUCAUUUAUUCAUGUUAAAGACGGUAUAGAAGAGCAAACUGGUCAGAGUUUAGUAAAUAUGGUUGAAGCUUCUGUAGCAGCCAGUAUUGUUGCCAGGCUCGCUGAAGGUAUA